UACGAAGGGGGCUAGCGUUGCUCGGAAUUACUGGGCGUAAAGGGCGCGUAGGCGGCCCGGCGCGUCAUGCGUGAAAUCUCCCGGCUCAACUGGGAGGGGUCGUGUGAUACGGUCGGGCUGGAGCAAGGUAGGGGGCAGUGGAAUUCCCGGUGUAGUGGUGGAAUGCGUAGAUAUCGGGAGGAACACCAGUGGCGAAGGCGGCUGCCUGGACCUGUGCUGACGCUGAGGCGCGAAAGCGUGGGGAGCGAUCCGG
rnacentral:rRNA from 1 species